rnacentral:rRNA from 1 species
GAUGAACGCUGGCGGCGUGCCUAAUACAUGCAAGUCGAGCGAACAGACGAGGAGCUUGCUCCUCUGACGUUAGCGGCGGACGGGUGAGUAACAUGUGGAUAACCUACCUAUAAGACUGGGAUAACUUCGGGAAACCGGAGCUAAUACCGGAUAAUAUAUUGAACCGCAUGGUUCAAUAGUGAAAGACGGUUUUGCUGUCACUUAUAGAUGGAUCCGCGCCUCAUUAGCUAGUUGGUAAGGUAACGGCUUACCAAGGCAACGAUGCGUAGCCGACCUGAGAGGGUGAUCGGCCACCCUGGAACUGAGACACGGUCCAGACUCCUACGGGAGGCAGCAGUAGGGAAUCUUCCGCAAUGGGCGAAAGCCUGACGGAGCAACGCCGAGUGAGUGAUGAAGGUCUUCGGCUCGUAAAGCUCUGUUAUUAGGGAAGAACAAAUGUGUAAGUAACUACGCACGUCUUGACGGUACCUAAUCAGAAAGCCACGGCUAACUACGUG